UGGCUGGGGCCUUCGGGGCCUGACUGGAAGCUGCUGCCUCUGGCUUCCGGUUCUGCUGAUCAGCAGGUGCUGCACCAGGGGGACCAUCGUCUUGGGCCUCAGCUCCUGUCUCGGCUCUGAGGGCUCUAGUGAUACCAGCGAAUAUUAGCAAACCCUGAUCCAGUCUCUUGUUGCCUGUCUUCUGAGAUUUAACAUCAGCUGCAUCUUCUGGAAAUGGGUCACAUCACUGGAUGUCAUCCAGGCUCCUGUCCGGGGUCAAGGCCUCUUUUCAGGCAUUCCGAGCUUUGCGGGCAGGCUAAUCCUUUCCCAUGAGGGACCCUGGACUUCGUGCUCUGCCUGCUACCGUGACAGCAGCUGCAUCUGCAACUGAAGCAUCUGCAGGCACAGGCUACUUCCUGUCAGGAGGCCCUCUUUGAAUUUCAUGGCCCCUUUUGGGGCCACUGUCUUAUCUCCCCACACCAGCCCCUUCCCAGCACUUGCCCCUUUUUGUAUCAUUGUCUGUUGGUCUCUCCCGGCUGAACUGUAAGCUCUAAGAGGACUAACGCCAUCUUGUUCGCCCUGUACUUGUAACACUUACCAUGACCGUUGCUCCUUGACUAGAAUGAAUAUUUCACUGGUGAACCCAAAAUUUGGUUUAUUAAAUUGUUUCUGAAGUAAACAAAUUUUUAAAAAUUU